UGUCAUUUUGUAUCCAAACCAAGGAAGCUGCUUCUCUACUCAAAGCCUGGUUGCUGUUUGUGCGAUGGCCUCAAAGGAAAAAUCCCGCCCCCUUUUCACUUCCUGGUUCAGAUUCCCUCGUCGAGUUACGGGCGAGGGACAUUACCAGCGAUCCCGAGUGGGAGAAGGCAUACCAAUAUGAGAUACCCGUUUUAGCCAAAGUAUUCUCCCAUGGUACUGAGGCGAGGUUUUUCUUCUUUCCUUCAAAGCUAUAUCAGUGUCAGGAUUUAUUAUGGGUUCCCUUUUAAUGAGUGUACGACAUCUCAGAUAAAGAAUUCAACAUGGAUAAUUUCACACAAGAAUUUCUGCUAAGUUUCUCUUGUUAUGAAUUGUUGUAUAGCAACUCCCUUUGAAAGGUAAGC